CCUUGCCAGCCCGCUCAGACACUCAAAGGAAUUGACGGGGGCCCGCACAAGCGGUGGAGCAUGUGGUUUAAUUCGAUGAUACGCGAGGAACCUUACCUGGGCUCGAACGUAAGAUGACUGUAGGUGAAAGCUUACAUCUCUUCGGAGCAUUUUACGAGGUGCUGCAUGGUUGUCGUCAGCUCGUGCCGUGAGGUGUCGGGUUAAGUCCCAUAACGAGCGCAACCCCUACCUUUAGUUGCCAUCAGGUAAUGCUGGGGACUCUAAAGGAACUGCCUACGCAAGUAGUGAGGAAGGCGGGGAUGACGUCAAAUCAGCACGGCCCUUACGUCCAGGGCUACACACGUACUACAAUGGCCGAUACAAAGGGCAGCGACACUGCGAGGUGAAGCCAAUCCCGUAAAAUCGGUCUCAGUCCGGAUUGGAGUCUGCAACUCGACUCCAUGAAGUUGGAAUCGCUAGUAAUCGUGGAUCAGCAUGCCACGGUGAAUACGUUCCCGGGCCUU
rnacentral:rRNA from 1 species